GGGAUCCAGCAGAAGUUACCUUUCCAUAAGACAGGGUAGUUGGGAGAGGCAGCAGUUACAUUUCCAUGAGAUAAGGGAACUGGGCGUAGCAAAAGGUCUAUAUUUACAAAAUAAAGAAGAAGGGCCUCACAUACCAUGUGAGGUUUGACCUUUGAGCUCAGAAGUUGCUAUAGUAACCAAAUCAAAGGAGAACAGUGGCCAAUCAAUCAGAGAGGAUAUUGAGGCA